GGGCGCUUAGCUCAGUUGGUAGAGCAUCUCAUUUACACUGAGAGGGUCAUAGGUUCGAGUCCUAUAGCGCCCACC
rnacentral:tRNA from 1 species